rnacentral:rRNA from 1 species
ACUGAAUUCUCUUCGGAGAUAGUAAGGUGGCGGACGGGUGAGUAACACGUAAAGACUUGCCCUGCAGUCUGGGACAACUAUUGGAAACGAUAGCUAAUACCGGAUAUUGCUGCAUGGCGAAAGCUGUAUGCGCUGCAGGAGAGCUUUGCGUCCCAUUAGUUAGUUGGUGAGGUAACGGCUCACCAAGACCGCGAUGGGUAGCCGGCCUGAGAGGGUGAACGGCCACAAGGGGACUGAGACACGGCCCUUACUCCUACGGGAGGCAGCAGUGGGGAAUAUUGGACAAUGGACCAAAGUCUGAUCCAGCAAUUCUGUGUGCACGAUGACGGUCUUAGGAUUGUAAAGUGCUUUCAAUCGGGAAAAAGAAAGUGAUGGUACCGAUAGAAGAAGCGACGGCUAAAUACGUGCCAGCAGCCGCGGUAAUACGUAUGUCGCAAGCGUUAUCCGGAUUUAUUGGGCGUAAAGCGCGUCUAGGCGGUCUGGUAAGUCUGAUGUGGAAAUGCGGGGCUCAACUCCGUAUUGCGUUGGAAACUGCCAGACUAGAGUACUGGAGAGGUGGGCGGAACUACAAGUGUAGAGGUGAAAUUCGUAGAUAUUUGUAGGAAUGCCGAUAGAGAAGUCAGCUCACUGGACAGAUACUGACGCUGAAGCGCGAAAGCAUGAGGAGCAAACAGGAUUAGAUACCCUGGUAGUCCAUGCCGUAGACGAUGAUUACUA